rnacentral:lncRNA from 1 species
GAUACAACGCGGCCUAUACCGCCACAGAGGUUGCCUAUGCAGCCGAAAGGUCCAAAACCCCCACCGCCACCACCGCCAUGGCCGCCAGGUCCACCAAAUCCGCCACCACCGCCAGGUCCACCAAAUCCUCCACCUCCACCUCCGUGAGGUCCGCCACCGCCACCGCCACCGCCACCACCAUGAGGUCCGUGUGGAGGCAUCUCUUUAACCUGAUCUAGCUAGCUUUCUGAGUUUUGAUCUUAGGAAAUGAUGAAACUGUAAUGUAGGUGUCUAAUAUUGGAACUGAGAAUGAUACCCUCUGGACAUUUAUAGGAUUCUUGUAAGCGAGACAAU